GACUACCGGGGUAUCUAAGCCCGUUCGCUCCCCUAGCUUUCGCCUCUCAGCGUCAGGUGCAGGCCAGAAGGCCGCCUUCGCCACUGGUGUUCUUCCGAAUAUCUGAGCAUUCCACCGCUACACUCGGAAUUCCGCCUUCCUCUCCUGCCCUCCAGUAGACUAGUUUUGAACGACCCCUCUCAGUUAAGCCGAGAUUUGUCACGCCCAACUUUGCCUACCGCCUACUUGCCCUUUACGCCCAGUGAAUCCGGAUAACGCUCGCCUCCUACGUUUUACCGCGGCUGCUGGCACGUAGUUAGCCGAGACUUAUUCCUGUGGUACUGUCCUUUUCUCAUCCCACAGAAAAGAGCUUUACGACCCGAAGGCCUUCAUCGCUCACGCGGCGUUGCUGCAUCAGGGUUCCCCCCAUUGUGCAAUAUUCCUCACUGCAGCCCCCCGUAGG
rnacentral:rRNA from 1 species